UACCCUGGAUUGAAUCUCGAAAGAUUAAAAAAAAAAGUAAACUUCAUGUUCAAAGGACAGCGAGAUAGAAAUUCAAUAUCUGGCAUCGUUGGUUUUCUUGGCCUUGUCUUUGGUAAAUCUGGUAUUUCUAUUGAUACAGUA